UACGAAGGGGGCGAGCGUUGUUCGGAUUUACUGGGCGUAAAGGGCGCGUAGGCGGCCCUCCUAGUCGCGUGUGAAAGCCCCGGGCUCAACCUGGGAAUUGCGCGCGAAACGGGGGGGGCUUGAGUUCGGGAGAGGAGCGUGGAAUUCCCAGUGUAGAGGUGAAAUUCGGUAGAUAUUGGGAAGAACACCGGGUGGCGAAGGCGG
rnacentral:rRNA from 1 species